rnacentral:rRNA from 1 species
GAGUUUGAUCCUGGCUCAGGACGAACGCUGGCGGCGUGCUUAACACAUGCAAGUCGAACGAAGCAACUAAGAGUGCUUGCACAAAUAGUUGACUGAGUGGCGGACGGGUGAGUAACGCGUGAGCGACCUACCUUAAAGAGGGGGACAACAGUUGGAAACGACUGCUAAUACCGCAUAAGACCACAAUGCUGCAUGGCAAAGGGGUCAAAGGAGCAAUCCGCUUUAAGAUGGGCUCGCGUCCCAUUAGGUAGUUGGUGAGGUAACGGCUCACCAAGCCGACGAUGGGUAGCCGACCUGAGAGGGUGAUCGGCCACACUGGAACUGAGACACGGUCCAGACUCCUACGGGAGGCAGCAGUGGGGAAUAUUGGGCAAUGGGCGAAAGCCUGACCCAGCAACGCCGCGUGAAGGAAGAAGGUCUUCGGAUUGUAAACUUCUGUCCUAU